rnacentral:rRNA from 1 species
UACGGGGGGGGGCAAGCGUUGUUCGGAAUUACUGGGCGUAAAGGGCGAGUAGGUGGCCAUCUAAGUCAGACGUGAAAUCCCCCGGCUUAACCUGGGAACUGCGUCUGAUACUGGACGGCUUGAGUAUGGGAGAGGAACGUAGAAUUCCAGGUGUAGCGGUGAAAUGCGUAGAUAUCUGGAGGAAUACCGGUGGCGAAGGCGGCGUUCUGGACCAUUACUGACACUGAAUCGCGAAAGCUGGGGGAGCAAACGGG